rnacentral:rRNA from 1 species
UACAUGGGGUGCAAACGUUGCUCGGAAUUAUUGGGCGUAAAGCGCACGUAGGCGGCUUUGCAAGUCCCAUGUGAAAUCCCACGGCUCAACCGUGGAAGUGCAUGGGAAACUGCAGAGCUUGAGUACUUAAGAGGAUCGCGGAAUUCCCGGUGUAGAGGUGAAAUUCGUAGAUAUCGGGAGGAACACCAGUGGCGAAGGCGGCGAUCUGGGAAGAUACUGACGCUGAGGUGCGAAAGCGUGGGGAGCAAACAGG